GCCGACAAAAAACUGCAGCUGAAACGUAAGUUGCAGCACAAUUGAGGUGAAUUAACGGUCACUGGCGGCGGGUCAAAUACGUUGCACUCCUUCAAUGAUUUGGAGCAAACUAUAAUACGCCUCCUUGAGAGAACGAUUAUUCACAAUGAACGCCAUCAUCACACAGUACAACAGUAUCUUGUGACGAAGAACAAAACGAGGAUCCAAGCAACCUUGAAGUUAGGCAGCACAUGACAAUGCAGCUCUUGAAGAACCUGGAACAAGUCAUUUAGCAAGGCGUGAAGGAGGACGAGCAACCAAACGAAAUUUCCGGAAAGCUUUCUUCGAAAAGCAAACGGCAAAUUGUAUUGGACUGCCAGAACCAUAAAAGUCAUAGAAAAAGCAGAAGUUUGACUUCGAAAUGGGGCGAGCAACAAUUGGUAGUAAUGAUGACCAAAACGAUCACGCAGUGAUUGAUAAAAUGAUAGUAGCAACCAAAUACAAAUUAAAUACGCCAAGGUCCCAUACAAAAGGGUCUCCAUUUUUUGGCUCAGUGAUUAAUCAAAUUACACAACCCAAUUCUUCUGUUAGGCGUUGACAAGUCAGUGUUGUAGAAAAAAAUGAAUCUGGCCACGCUAUGUGAUCAAAGUGUGCUUUUCUUAGUUACGGUAUGUUUGUGUCAAAUUUGUGAAAAAAAAUUCUAAAAUGAGGACGUGCUGUGUAAUAGGGUGUGAUUCGCGUGCAGGGAUAACCGGAAUUACACUGCACCGGUUCCCCAAAGAUGAAAUCGGGGCUAAACGAUGGAUGCAAGCAAUCGCGCCGAGG